rnacentral:tRNA from 1 species
GGUAGGAUGGCCGAGCGUUCAAGGCGGUGGGUUGUAGCCCCGAAGACAGAGGUUUGAGUCCUCUUCCUAUCA